rnacentral:rRNA from 1 species
AGAGUUUGAUCCUGGCUCAGGAUGAACGCUAGCUACAGGCUUAACACAUGCAAGUCGAGGGGCAGCAUGGUCUUAGCUUGCUAAGGCCGAUGGCGACCGGCGCACGGGUGAGUAACACGUAUCCAACCUGCCGUCUACUCUUGGACAGCCUUCUGAAAGGAAGAUUAAUACAAGAUGGCAUCAUGAGUCCGCAUGUUCACAUGAUUAAAGGUAUUCCGGUAGACGAUGGGGAUGCGUUCCAUUAGAUAGUAGGCGGGGUAACGGCCCACCUAGUCUUCGAUGGAUAGGGGUUCUGAGAGGAAGGUCCCCCACAUUGGAACUGAGACACGGUCCAAACUCCUACGGGAGGCAGCAGUGAGGAAUAUUGGUCAAUGGGCGAGAGCCUGAACCAGCCAAGUAGCGUGAAGGAUGACUGCCCUAUGGGUUGUAAACUUCUUUUAUAAAGGAAUAAAGUCGGGUAUGGAUACCCGUUUGCAUGUACUUUAUGAAUAAGGAUCGGCUAACUCCGUGCCAGCAGCCGCGGUAAUACGGAGGAUCCGAGCGUUAUCCGGAUUUAUUGGGUUUAAAGGGAGCGUAGAUGGAUGUUUAAGUCAGUUGUGAAAGUUUGCGGCUCAACCGUAAAAUUGCAGUUGAUACUGGAUAUCUUGAGUGCAGUUGAGGCAGGCGGAAUUCGUGGGGUAGCGGGGAAAUGCUUAGAUAUCACGAAGAACUCCGAUUGCGAAGGCAGCCUGCUAAGCUGCAACUGACAUUGAGGCUCGAAAGUGUGGGUAUCAAACAGGAUUAGAUACCCUGGUAGUCCACACGGUAAACGAUGAAUACUCGCUGUUUGCGAUAUACUGCAAGCGGCCAAGCGAAAGCGUUAAGUAUUCCACCUGGGGAGUACGCCGGCAACGGUGAAACUCAAAGGAAUUGACGGGGGCCCGCACAAGCGGAGGAACAUGUGGUUUAAUUCGAUGAUACGCGAGGAACCUUACCCGGGCUUAAAUUGCAGAUGAAUUACGGUGAAAGCCGUAAGCCGCAAGGCAUCUGUGAAGGUGCUGCAUGGUUGUCGUCAGCUCGUGCCGUGAGGUGUCGGCUUAAGUGCCAUAACGAGCGCAACCCUUGUUGUCAGUUACUAACAGGUUCCGCUGAGGACUCUGACAAGACUGCCAUCGUAAGAUGUGAGGAAGGUGGGGAUGACGUCAAAUCAGCACGGCCCUUACGUCCGGGGCUACACACGUGUUACAAUGGGGGGUACAGAAGGCAGCUACCUGGUGACAGGAUGCUAAUCCCAAAAGCCUCUCUCAGUUCGGAUCGAAGUCUGCAACCCGACUUCGUGAAGCUGGAUUCGCUAGUAAUCGCGCAUCAGCCAUGGCGCGGUGAAUACGUUCCCGGGCCUUGUACACACCGCCCGUCAAGCCAUGAAAGCCGGGGGUACCUGAAGUGCGUAACCGCGAGGAGCGCCCUAGGGUAAAACUGGUGACUGGGGCUAAGUCGUAACAAGGUAGCCGUACCGGAAGGUGCGGCUG